rnacentral:rRNA from 1 species
UACGGAGGGAGCUAGCGUUGUUCGGAAUUACUGGGCGUAAAGCGCGCGUAGGCGGCUUUGUAAGUUAGCUGUGAAAGCCUGGAGCUCAACUUCAGAAUUGCCUUUAAGACUGCAUCGCUUGAAUCCGGGAGAGGUGAGUGGAAUUCCGAGUGUAGAGGUGAAAUUCGUAGAUAUUCGGAAGAACACCAGUGGCGAAGGCGGCUCACUGGACCGGCAUUGACGCUGAGGUGCGAAAGCGUGGGGAGCAAACAGG